rnacentral:tRNA from 1 species
CUUUAAACUCUUAAUUUAAAAAGAAGUAGUUAAAUUCUACUAUUAAGGG